UCGAAUCCCCUAAUGCCCACAUCUACAAGAUCAACGUUCCAGGUUACAGCAAAGAUAACAUAAAGGUGCAAAUAGAGGAUGGUAACGUUUUGCACAUAAAAGGAGAAGGUGGGAAAGAGGAG